CGCAGCUAACGCAUUAAGCGCCCCGCCUGGGGAGUACGGCCGCAAGGCUAAAACUCAAAGGAAUUGACGGGGGCCCGCACAAGCGGCGGAGCAUGCGGAUUAAUUCGAUGCAACGCGAAGAACCUUACCAAGGCUUGACAUACACGAGAACGGGCCAGAAAUGGUCAACUCUUUGGACACUCGUGAACAGGUGGUGCAUGGUUGUCGUCAGCUCGUGUCGUGAGAUGUUGGGUUAAGUCCCGCAACGAGCGCAACCCUCGUUCUAUGUUGCCAGCACGUGAUGGUGGGAACUCAUAGGAGACUGCCGGGGUCAACUCGGAGGAAGGUGGGGAUGACGUCAAAUCAUCAUGCCCCUUAUGUCUUGGGCUUCACGCAUGCUACAAUGGCCGGUACAAAGGGCUGCGAUACCGUAAGGUGGAGCGAAUCCCAAAAAGCCGGUCUCAGUUCGGAUUGAGGUCUGCAACUCGACCUCAUGAAGUCGGAGUCGCUAGUAAUCGCAGAUCAGCAACGCUGCGGUGAAUACGUUCCCGGGCCUUGUACACACCGCCCGUCAAGUCAUGAAAGUCGGUAACACCCGAAGCCGGUGG
rnacentral:rRNA from 1 species